rnacentral:rRNA from 1 species
AGAGUUUGAUCAUGGCUCAGAACGUACGCUGGCGGCACGCCUAACACAUGCAAGUCGAACGAAGUAGCAAUACUUAGUGGCGAACGGGUGAGUAUAAUGUGGGUAUCUGCCUUUUGGUUUGGAAUAACACGAGGAAACUUGUGCUAAUACCGGAUAAGCCUUCACAGGGAAAGUUUUAACGCCAAAAGAUGAGCCCGCACUUGAUUAGCUAGUUGGUAAGGUAAUGGCUUACCAAGGCUACGAUCAAUAGCUGAUCUGAGAGGAUGAUCAGCCACAUUGGGACUGAGACACGGCCCAAACUCCUACGGGAGGCAGCAGUAGGGAAUCUUGCACAAUGGAGGAAACUCUGAUGCAGCGAUGCCGCGUGAGUGAAGAAGGCCUUUGGGUUGUAAAGCUCUUUCGUCGGGGAAGAAAAUGACUGUACCCGAAUAAGAAGGUCCGGCUAACUUCGUGCCAGCAGCCGCGGUAAUACGAAGGGACCUAGCGUAGUUCGGAAUUACUGGGCUUAAAGAGUUCGUAGGUGGUUAAAAAAGUUGGUGGUGAAAUCCCAGAGCUUAACUCUGGAACUGCCAUCAAAACUUUUUAGCUAGAGUAUGAUAGAGGAAAGCAGAAUUUCUAGUGUAGAGGUGAAAUUCGUAGAUAUUAGAAAGAAUACCAAUUGCGAAGGCAGCUUUCUGGAUCAUUACUGACACUGAGGAACGAAAGCAUGGGUAGCGAAGAGGAUUAGAUACCCUCGUAGUCCAUGCCGUAAACGAUGUGUGCUAGACGUUGGAAAUUUAUUUUUCAGUGUCGCAGCAAAAGCGUUAAGCACACCGCCUGGGGAGUACGACCGCAAGGUUAAAACUCAAAUGAAUUGACGGGGACCCGCACAAGUAGUGGAGCAUGUGGUUUAAUUCGAAGAUACGCGCAGAACCUUACCAACACUUGACAUGUUCGUCGCGACUCUAAGAGAUUAGAGUUUUCGGUUCGGCCGGACGAAACACAGGUGCUGCAUGGCUGUCGUCAGCUCGUGUCGUGAGAUGUUGGGUUAAGUCCC